GCCCGGGUGGUGAAAUGGUAGACACGCAACACUUAAAAUGUUGUAAGCUAAACGCUUGUGUCGGUUCGAGUCCGACCCCGGGCA
rnacentral:tRNA from 4 species